UUUCCGUAGGUGAACCUGCGGAAGGAUCAUUAACGAAUAUCUAUGGCGUUGGUUGUAGCUGGCUCUUAGGAGCAUUUGUGCACGCCCGUCAUUCAUAUCACCUUUCCACCUGUGAACUCUGUGUAGGCCUGGAUAACCCUCGCUUUGGCAACAAAGCGGAUGCAGGGAUUGCUGUGUCGACAAGGCCAGCUCUCUUUGAAUUUCCAGGUUCUAUGUCUUUUUACACACCCCAUUUGAAUGACGUAGAAUGUAGUCAAUGGGCUUUCACGCCUAUAAAACACUAUACAACUUUCAGCAACGGAUCUCUUGGCUCUC
rnacentral:misc_RNA from 1 species